GUCUUUUUGGUAUAUUAAUAUAAAGUCUGACCUGCCCACUGAUAAUUUUAUUAAAGGGCCGCAGUAUCUUGACUGUGCAAAGGUAGCAUAAUCAUUAGUCUUUUAAUUGGAGGCUGGUAUGAAUGGUUGGAUGAGAUACAAGCUGUGUCAUAUAAAAUUAAUAUUUGAAUUUACCUUUUUAGUCAAAAGGCUAAAAUAUUAUUAAAAGACGAGAAGACCCUAUAGAGCUUUAUAUAAUAGAUAUUUAUUUUAUUUAGAUUUUUUAUGUUUAAUUAUUGUUUUAUAUUUUGUUGGGGUGAUAAUAAAAUUAAUAAAACUUUUAUUUUUUAUUUACAUUAAUUUAUGGUUAAAUGAUCCAGUUUUAUUGAUUAUAAGAUUAAGUUACCUUAGGGAUAACAGCGUAAUUUUUUUUGAGAGUUCUUAUCGAUAAAAAAGAUUGCGACCUCGAUGUUGGAUUAAGAGUAAUUUUGGGUGUAGAAGUUCAAAUUUUAAGUCUGUUCGACUUUUAAAUUCUUACAU
rnacentral:rRNA from 1 species